rnacentral:tRNA from 1 species
GGGGAUAUAGUUCAUUGGUACAGCACUUGCCUAGCAGGAGCAAGGUCCUGGGUUCAAUCCCCAGUACCAUCA